rnacentral:misc_RNA from 1 species
GCAAUAUGAAACAAGCCACAUGAGGAAACUCGAGCUGUAAACCAUUCACCAGCAGCCAGUCUCUUCACUAAUGGUAUAAAAUACUCGACCAAGUCUUGCUCCCUUAUCUGUACCCCAAUUCUACAUAAGGACUCCACUGCUUUAUCUCUAACGCAAGUUUCUUCAACAGUGCACAAAGUCUCAAGCGGUGGAAGCAACACAUUGGCAUGCUCCACACCACCAAUAUAAGGAAUAAAGACCCCCAAUUCUUCCGCCAUUGCAAUAAGCACUUCAUCAUCAUCAUCAUUAUUCUCACUUAAGAAAGGAAUCAAUUCCUUUCGAGUUCUCUCCUCCCCAAGCGCACGUGCAAUUGUAGAAAGCUUACGAAUUGAGUUCAAACGAAGCUGAAUGUCCUCAUUUUUCAGCUCAUCAAUAAGAACAGCAAUUGGGUAUAAAGGCUCAUCGAUUGUUGCCAUUUUCCCACUCUAGAUCUUAGAAAUGAAAGGAGAGCAGAUUGUUAUUGAAGCUCGAUCUGUCAAAACACUGUCUCAAACGAAAAGAUCCUUUCUGGUACAAAGAGAGAGAUCCAAAGAUCCUGAAUUUUUUUUUUCUUUUUCUUUUUCUUUCCUAGAAUUAUUCUAAUUUGAAGGUUUGAAUUUGGGUUUGCGACCGAAGCUCCAUAGAAGAAAUCCUGCGUUACCGGACUUUCAAAUCUUUGCCUGGCCCCGUAUUCUUAGCCCAUUUUUCCGGAUUUCUUGCUUUAUUAGUA